GAUGAACGCUGGCGGCGUGCCUAAUACAUGCAAGUCGAGCGAACGGACGAGAAGCUUGCUUCUCUGAUGUUAGCGGCGGACGGGUGAGUAACACGUGGAUAACCUACCUAUAAGACUGGGAUAACUUCGGGAAACCGUAGCUAAUACCGGAUAAUAUUUUGAACCGCAUGGUUCAAAAGUGAAAGACGGUCUUGCUGUCACUUAUAGAUGGAUCCGCGCUGCAUUAGCUAGUUGGUAAGGUAACGGCUUACCAAGGCAACGAUGCAUAGCCGACCUGAGAGGGUGAUCGGCCACACUGGAACUGAGACACGGUCCAGACUCCUACGGGAGGCAGCAGUGGGGAAUCUUCCGCAAUGGGCGAAAGCCUGACGGAGCAACGCCGCGUGAGUGAUGAAGGUCUUCGGAUCGUAAAACUCUGUUAUUGGGGAAGAACAUAUGUGUAAGUAACUGUGCACAUCUUGACGGUACCUAAUCAGAAAGCCACGGCUAACUACGUG
rnacentral:rRNA from 1 species